AGACCACCGGGAUUAAGCGGCAUCAGGAUGAUGUCGAUUCAGGAUGAAGAAGCGGAUCGCAGAAGGAUACGCGCCUCAAGGAAGGCUUCAGGGUUGAAGCAGGACACCUCAGGAUGAGGAUAAAGGACACCUCCAGGAUGGAGAAUGAGAGCCGCUACGGAAUGUGCGGUGGGCCAGGAUGCUAAAGGAAUACAGGUCAUGAUGACGAGAGUGGCAGGAUGUCACGCAGGAAAAGUUUUCAUGGACGAGCAGGGAGCAUAAGCGUAGCAGGACGUCUACAAACGAACCGGGAGCACUGUUUUUACAGUGCUCCCUUUUUUUAUG
rnacentral:other from 3 species